rnacentral:lncRNA from 1 species
GUGUUGCGGAAUGGAACCGUGCGGAAAAUCUUCACGGUGGCUGCCUCAGAGCGGUGAAUUUGAAUUUGACUGCGGAACAAUUAAGCCGCAGCUGAACUGAUUGAGGUUAGCGAAUAUCUGAAUGUUACUUUAAUAAUAUUCGUUGGUCAACCAAAUUCCGAAGCUGAACAGUUCAUAAUGCUGUGGCAGGAUAAAACACAGUUAUAGGGUCAGUACUAUCGACUGCAUUUAUAAUAGUUAUGCUAUGAAA